rnacentral:rRNA from 1 species
CCUACGGGAGGCAGCAGUAGGGAAUCUUUCACAAUGGGCGAAAGCCUGAUGGAGCAACGCCGCGUGCAGGAUGAAGGCCUUCGGGUUGUAAACUGCUUUUAUAAGCGAGAAAUAUGAUGGUAACUUAUGAAUAAGGAUCGGCUAACUACGUGCCAGCAGCCGCGGUCAUACGUAGGAUCCGAGCAUUAUCCGGGGUGACUGGGUGUAAAGAGUUGCGUAGGUGGCAUAAUAAGUAGCUAGUGAAAUCUGGUGGCUCAACCAUUCAGACUAUUAGCUAAACUGUUAAGCUCGAGACCGUUAGAGGUAACUGGAAUUUCUAGUGUAGGAGUGAAAUCCGUAGAUAUUAGAAGGAACACCGAUAGCGUAGGCAGGUUGCUGGGACGGUUCUGACACUAAGGCACGAAAGCGUAGGGAGCAAACGGGAUUAGAUACCCUUGUAGUC